rnacentral:misc_RNA from 1 species
GAUGAAGAACGUAGCGAAAUGCGAUAAGUAAUGUGAAUUGCAGAAUUCAGUGAAUCAUCGAAUCUUUGAACGCACCUUGCGCCCUUUGGCCAUUCCGAAGGGCAUGCCUGUUUGAGUAUCAUGAACACCUCAACUCUUCAUGGUUUUCCGUGAUGAGCUUGGUCUUUGGGGGUCUUGCUGGCCUAUGGUCAGCUCCUCUAAAAUAAAUCAGCUUGCCAGUGUUUGGUGGGUAUCACAGGUGUGAUAACUAUCUACGCUUGUGGUUUUCCACCAGGUAACCUUCAGCAGUGGAGGUUCGCUGGAGCUCACAGAUGUGUCUCUCCUCAGUGAGGACAGCUCUUUGAAUGUUUGAUCUCAAAUCAGGUAGGACUACCCGCUGAACUUAAGCAUAUCAAUAAGCGGAGGA